AUAGGGGAGCCGGAGGGAAACCGAGUCUUAAUUGGGCGUUAAGUUGCAGGGUAUAGACCCGAAACCCGGUGAUCUAGCCAUGGGCAGGUUGAAGGUUGGGUAACACUAACUGGAGGACCGAACCGACUAAUGUUGAAAAAUUAGCGGAUGACCUGUGGCUGGGGGUGAAAGGCCAAUCAAACCGGGAGAUAGCUGGUUCUCCCCGAAAGCUAUUUAGGUAGCGCCUCGUGAAUUCAUCUCCGGGGGUAGAGCACUGUUUCGGCUAGGGGGCCAUCCCGGCUUACCAACCCGAUGCAAACUGCGAAUACCGGAGAAUGUUAUCACGGGAGACACACGGCGGGUGCUAACGUCCGUCGUGAAGAGGGAAACAACCCAGACCGCCAGCUAAGGUCCCAAAGUCAUGGUUAAGUGGGAAACGAUGUGGGAAGGCCCAGACAGCCAGGAUGUUGGCUUAGAAGCAGCCAUCAUUUAAAGAAAGCGUAAUAGCUCACUGGUCGAGUCGGCCUGCGCGGAAGAUGUAACGGGGCUAAACCAUGCACCGAAGCUGCGGCAGCGAACGUAUCACCCAAGACAACUUUACGGAGUUGACGAUUGACGGAGCGAAGCGACGUCAAAGCGUUCAUUAAAGUCGAGUUGGCUUAGGGAUACGUUCGUUGGGUAGGGGAGCGUUCUGUAAGCCUGUGAAGGUGUGUCGUGAGGCAUGCUGGAGGUAUCAGAAGUGCGAAUGCUGACAUAAGUAACGAUAAAGCGGGUGAAAAGCCCGCUCGCCGGAAGACCAAGGGUUCCUGUCCAACGUUAAUCGGGGCAGGGUGAGUCGACCCCUAAGGCGAGGCCGAAAGGCGUAGUCGAUGGGAAACGGGUUAAUAUUCCCGUACUUGGUGUUACUGCGAAGGGGGGACGGAGAAGGCUAUGUUGGCCGGGCGACGGUUGUCCCGGUUUAAGCGUGUAGGUGUGUGUUCCAGGUAAAUCCGGUUCACUUUAACACUGAGGCGUGACGACGAGGCACUACGGUGCUGAAGCAACAAAUGCCCUGCUUCCAGGAAAAGCCUCUAAGCAUCAGGUAACAUCAAAUCGUACCCCAAACCGACACAGGUGGUCAGGUAGAGAAUACCAAGGCGCUUGAGAGAACUCGGGUGAAGGAACUAGGCAAAAUGGUGCCGUAACUUCGGGAGAAGGCACGCUGACACGUAGGUGAAGUGAUUUACUCAUGGAGCUGAAGUCAGUCGAAGAUACCAGCUGGCUGCAACUGUUUAUUAAAAACACAGCACUGUGCAAACACGAAAGUGGACGUAUACGGUGUGACGCCUGCCCGGUGCCGGAAGGUUAAUUGAUGGGGUCAGCGCAAGCGAAGCUCCUGAUCGAAGCCCCGGUAAACGGCGGCCGUAACUAUAACGGUCCUAAGGUAGCGAAAUUCCUUGUCGGGUAAGUUCCGACCUGCACGAAUGGCGUAAUGAUGGCCAGGCUGUCUCCACCCGAGACUCAGUGAAAUUGAACUCGCUGUGAAGAUGCAGUGUACCCGCGGCAAGACGGAAAGACCCCGUGAACCUUUACUAUAGCUUGACACUGAACAUUGAGCCUUGAUGUGUAGGAUAGGUGGGAGGCUUUGAAGUGUGGACGCCAGUCUGCAUGGAGCCGACCUUGAAAUACCACCCUUUAAUGUUUGAUGUUCUAACGUGGACCCGUAAUCCGGGUUGCGGACAGUGUCUGGUGGGUAGUUUGACUGGGGCGGUCUCCUCCUAAAGAGUAACGGAGGAGCACGAAGGUUGGCUAAUCCUGGUCGGACAUCAGGAGGUUAGUGCAAUGGCAUAAGCCAGCUUGACUGCGAGCGUGACGGCGCGAGCAGGUGCGAAAGCAGGUCAUAGUGAUCCGGUGGUUCUGAAUGGAAGGGCCAUCGCUCAACGGAUAAAAGGUACUCCGGGGAUAACAGGCUGAUACCGCCCAAGAGUUCAUAUCGACGGCGGUGUUUGGCACCUCGAUGUCGGCUCAUCACAUCCUGGGGCUGAAGUAGGUCCCAAGGGUAUGGCUGUUCGCCAUUUAAAGUGGUACGCGAGCUGGGUUUAGAACGUCGUGAGACAGUUCGGUCCCUAUCUGCCGUGGGCGCUGGAGAACUGAGGGGGGCUGCUCCUAGUACGAGAGGACCGGAGUGGACGCAUCACUGGUGUUCGGGUUGUCAUGCCAAUGGCACUGCCCGGUAGCUAAAUGCGGAAGAGAUAAGUGCUGAAAGCAUCUAAGCACGAAACUUGCCCCGAGAUGAGUUCUCCCUGAGACUUAGAGUCUCCUGAAGGAACGUUGAAGACGACGACGUUGAUAGGCCGGGUGUGUAAGCGCAGCGAUGCGUUGAGCUAACCGGUACUAAUGAACCGUGAGGCUUAACCUUACA
rnacentral:rRNA from 1 species